rnacentral:rRNA from 1 species
GACGAACGCUGGCGGCGUGCUUAACACAUGCAAGUCGAGCGGAAAGGCCCUUCGGGGUACUCGAGCGGCGAACGGGUGAGUAACACGUGAGUAAUCUGCCCUUGGCUUCGGGAUAGCCACCGGAAACGGUGAUUAAUACCGGAUACGACCACUCCUGGCAUCAGGUGGUGGUGGAAAGUUUUUCGGCCAGGGAUGUGCUCGCGGCCUAUCAGCUUGAUGGUGAGGUAAUGGCUCACCAUGGCUUCGACGGGUAGCCGGCCUGAGAGGGUGACCGGUCACACUGGGACUGAGACACGGCCCAGACUCCUACGGGAGGCAGCAGUGGGGAAUAUUGGACAAUGGGCGGAAGCCUGAUCCAGCAACGCCGCGUGAGGGAUGACGGCCUUCGGGUUGUAAACCUCUUUCAGCAGGGACGAAGCGCAAGUGACGGUACCUGCAGAAGAAGCACCGGCCAACUACGUGCCAGCCGCCGCCGUAAGAC